rnacentral:rRNA from 1 species
UGGGGAAUUUUGGACAAUGGGCGAAAGCCUGAUCCAGCCAUGCCGCGUGAGUGAAGAAGGCCUUCGGGUUGUAAAGCUCUUUUAGUCGGAAAGAAAGAGUCGCAAUGAAUAAUUGUGAUUUAUGACGGUACCGACAGAAAAAGCACCGGCUAACUACGUGCCAGCAGCCGCGGUAAUACGUAGGGUGCGAGCGUUAAUCGGAAUUACUGGGCGUAAAGGGUGCGCAGGCGGUUUUGCAAGUCAGAUGUGAAAGCCCCGGGCUUAACCUGGGAAUUGCGUUUGAAACUACAAGGCUAGAGUGCAGCAGAGGGGAGUGGAAUUCCAUGUGUAGCAGUGAAAUGCGUAGAGAUGUGGAAGAACACCGAUGGCGAAGGCAGCUCCCGUGGGUUNACGACUGACGCU